rnacentral:rRNA from 1 species
GACGAACGCUGGCGGCGUGCUUAACACAUGCAAGUCGAACGGAAAGGCCUCUUUCGGGGGGUACUCGAGUGGCGAACGGGUGAGUAACACGUGAGUAACCUGCCCUUGACUUUGGGAUAACUUCAGGAAACUGGGGCUAAUACCGGAUAGGAGCUCCUGCUGCAUGGUGGGGGUUGGAAAGUUUCGGCGGUUGGGGAUGGACUCGCGGCUUAUCAGCUUGUUGGUGGGGUAGUGGCUUACCAAGGCUUUGACGGGUAGCCGGCCUGAGAGGGUGACCGGCCAAAUUGGGACUGGAUUACGGCCAAGACUCCUACGGGGGGCAGCAGUGGGGAAAAUUGCACAAUGGGGGGAAGCCUGAUGCAGCAACGCCGUGUGCGGGAUGACGGCCUUCGGGUUGUAAACCGCUUUCGCUCAUGACGAAGCUUGUGUGACGGUAGUGGGUAAAGAAGCACCGGCUAACUACGUG